CUCUAGCUGGUUAGUUUGUCCAAUAAUUACUACAGAAAUGUUCACAGAGAGCAAGCUGGGAGAAAGGGAAGAAGAUACCAGGAAUAGAAGUUUGCAUAACAGUUACCGGUCUACCCCAAGGUUAUGGGCCAGGACAUCCCUCAUGGACUCCACCUCUGCAGGGGACAGCCUGUGAUCACGCCGGUUUCUACAGCGCCUGUAAAUAAAAAAGUUUAAAUACAAUAUUAAGCUGAUUAAAUGCUCUUGUCAUUGAAUGGAGCAUGAUCUGCUUCCAGCAUUAAGAAAGAAGACUGUGAAGAGCCUUUCAGUGAGCAGUGUUGCCACAGAAUCAUUCAAAGCUGAAUGAAUUACAACAGGCUUGACUCCAUCCCUGAGCUUUAUCAGUACACAAGGGUUGUCAGAGAUGGCCCAAAGCCUUCACAGAGCUGACAGCAGAAACUCCCCAUAUCUUGGACUGAGCAACCAACAGGAAGGCAUUCCAGUUUCCUCCUCUGUUUGAAUCUGUUCUUCAUUAGGGCCUCAUAGUCCAGGCCUUGCUGUUCUGCUGGCUUUAACUCCUAUUCAGCACAUCCUUAAGAAAUAAAGCACAUCUCAACUAAAAAGUGUGAGAGAUCUGCGCUGUGGCUAGGAGAAUAUGUAGGGUUUCCUUGGUGUUGUGCCCAUUUCUCUAUUUAAAAUGAAAGAACUACCUAAAAGAUAGUAAUCUUUGCAUUUUUAGCAAACUGGGACAAGAAGUGCAUACUCAUUUGUAACUGCCUGGCCUUUUCACUAGCAAAACAAUAGACGAGGGCUGCUGUGAAACCUUAACUGGAUUUGCUAAAUCAGUCAAUCUGUGCAAGAGAUAGUGUUUGGUUCAAUUCCCAAGAAAAGAAAGGAAAAGAAAAAAGUCAUUAUCCAGGAUGAAUCAGUCGAGUUCAUCUCUUUGUUUCUGUUUUUUUCCUUUCUCCAUUUUCUUUUCUCUUAUUUAAACUUUUAUCAUAAGUCUUUAUUCUCAACUAAGUGAUGUCCUUUGAGUUCUGUCAGCAAAUUGUACAAGUAAAGAAUGAAUUGUUAUCAAUGUACACUAUUGCCAGAGUUUUCUGUACCUGAUUUUUACUCGCUCUAUAAUAAAUUUGAACAGCAAAGGAAGGUAGAUUGAAACCUAAUUAAGAAUAUGCUGUAAUCAUCUGAAAAAAUGCUUGAAUUCUGCAAUCACAGCUAGUCUAACAAGAUUACCACAUUUUGUACCAUAAUCUAAAAAGACAGAGGGAGAGAAAAGUACGCUUUUUCGGAAUUUGUCCAUAGAUCUUUUCUUGGCUUCAAGAAAUCCCUUCAAAAAAAUUUUCUCCCAUAUUGAGUCUGGUAUACCCCAGGCUGUAGGACAGCCCAUGUAUGCUACUUUCCACAGCAAGGCAACCAGUCUCUCAGCAGCCCCUAGUUGCAGUCUCUUUGGUCAAGACAGGGACUGAGAAGCUAGGGCACAACUGUGAAAGAAAACAUAAGCACAGCUCCUGGGGACUAAUGGCAAUCAACCUGUUAACCUGUAGUGCUCUCUAAAACACAGCCUUGGAUCAUUUUUGUACAGCAAAUUGAAUAACCAUAGCUGAUACAAAUGAUGUUAAUGUCACAGGGAAUAACCUUUCUGAUCCUCAUUUCACCCAGUUUUUCCACUAGGCCUUUGCACCUUGAAGAUGGGAACAAACAGGAGGAAAUAAUGAGCAGAACUCCAGCAGAAGACAUCAGAUCACCUCUUUACCUUUCUAGCUGCAUACUUGUCCACAUACCAGUACAGAAAAAGUGACCAGUCCUAAGUCAUUUGAAGGCUAUACAUUAUAUAUUAUAGCCUAUCUCUUGAAGUGAAUUAAAUAAAUAAAAUAUCAGAGGUGAAAUAUCUCUCUAAUGGGUAUUUAUAAGGUGUAUUUUCCCAAUAUGCAACCAUAUAAACACAGUUUUAAUUGUAUUUGUUUGGCUACAUUUUUGUCUUUAAAACCCUUACUUCUAAGACUGAUAUUCUCCAAGCCAUCAUAACAUAAUGUUCUAUUUUCAUUUCUCCAAUUCAGCAAUGAAAAUGCUUAGUGCAUAUUAUAUACUAUAUACUAACCCCACCUACAGGACUCCCACCCACAUUAAUUCAAUAUCUGAGCACAGAGCUAAUCCACAGCAUUGGAAAUCUGCCUUGAUUGUUAUAGAGUAUUUCCCCUUGUGUCUCUAACAUGACAGAAGUGAUCAGAAGUGCUGAUCAUUUUUCUCACUACCACGGCACUACAAAUACUGCUUUAUAUGGUAUAGGGUGGAAUUUGGCUUCCAGUUGCUACUGGCUCAUGGCCAGAUUUUGUAUCCCAACUAAAGACAGACACAGUAUUUAAUCAAAGGAUUUACACAUGCUUUCAUUCAGAAACAUUUUAGUAUUAGGCAAGUUUACUUAAUUACUCAGGAGAAUGGAGGUACAAGAACUGCUGCAUUGGCUCAGACCACAGAUCCAAUUAGCUCAGUAUCCUGUCUCCUCUGGAGUUCACCACCAGACACUUUGUGAAGAACAGAGUUGGGAAAACUUGCAUUUUCCUGAAACACUCUCGUAGCCCCCAAGGACCAGAAAGUUUCAAAGCUAUGGGAAAGCUACACCUUUUUUAAAGGUAACAUUUUGUUUUCAAAAAGGCUAUCUCAGUAGGAAAAACUGUACAUCACAGAUUGAUGCACAGUAAAAUUCAAUUGCAGCUAAAGCAGAGCUGGCAAAUCUUACUCUAUCAUACCAGCUGUUUAUUGUAGAAUAUUUUUCAACCUAAAUGCUUAUCUCAGGAGAGAAUUUCUGAACUAAU